AGUGGCAGACGGGUGAGUAACAUGUAGGUAUCUGCCCUUUGGCCUGGAAUAACACGAGGAAACUUGUGCUAAUACCGGAUAAGUCUUUACGGAGAAAGCUUUACGCACCAUUGGAUGAGCCUGCACUUGAUUAGUUUGUUGGUAGGGUAAUGGCCUACCAAGACUGUGAUCAAUAGCUGAUUUGAGAGGAUGAUCAGCCACAUUGGGACUGAGACACGGCCCAAACUCCUACGGGAGGCAGCAGUGGGGAAUCUUGCACAAUGGAGGAAACUCUGAUGCAGCGAUGCCGCGUGAGUGAAGAAGGCCUUUGGGUUGUAAAGCUCUUUCGUCGGGGAAGAAAAUGACUGUACCCGAAUAAGAAGGUCCGGCUAACUUCGUGCCAGCAGCCGCGGUAAUACGAAGGAACCGAGCCUAGUUCGGAAUUACUGGGCUAAGAGUUCGUAGGUGUUGAAAAAGUUGGUGGUGAAUCCAGAGCUACUCUGGAACUGCAUCAACUUUUCGCUAGUAUGAGAG
rnacentral:rRNA from 1 species